AUCAUUUCCUUUCAAACCACGACACUCCGCCGUGUAACUAAUAUGUCUGAACACAUAAGGACUAUUCUCUGAAAUUAGAAUUGCACUCCAGAGAGCAAGAAGAAACAAAACUGAGCAAAGAAUUGGGGAAGUCUAAUGGCAGUUCUCCAGAACAGCUGUUUCUUGAUAUAUGCUUGUCAGUGAAGUUCACAACGUGGGGCAUCCAGAAACAACUUUUCAAACACUGAUUGCAAACCUGACUCAACAAAGCAAAGCAAAAUCAACCUGCAUACAACAGGUUGCACUAAUGCAGCAAAUCUCAGCACACAUGCCCAUAAACUUUCAAUGUGAUGCCAUCACACAUAUUGGAGCAAUAUAAUAAUCCAAGCACAGAAUACUGCUCAUUGUUGUACGAUUGAUAUAAGCAAAAUAAAGAUACCUUGGACCACUUUAA